rnacentral:tRNA from 1 species
GGGGUUGUGGCUCAGUGGUAGAGCACUCGCCUAGCAUGUGCGAGGAGCUGGGGUUCAAUCCUCAGCACCACA